GGUUAACGCUGGCGGCGUGCCUAACACAUGCAAGUCGAACGGUUCUAAGCGCGAGCUUAGGAUAGUGGCGAACGGGUGAGUAAAAAGGUAGGAAUCUACCCCUUGGACGGAGAUAGCUACUGGAAACGGUAGGUAAACUUCGAUAAGCCCGAGAGGGGAAAGUGGUGAGACAGCCGAGGGAUGAGCCUACUCUCCAUCAGGUAGUUGGUGAGAUAAAAGCUUACCAAGCCGAUGACGGAUAACCGGUGUGAGAGCAUGAACGGUCACAAGGGCACUGAGAGACGGGCCCUACUCCUACGGGAGGCAGCAGUGGGGAAUAUUGGACAAUGGGCGCAAGCCUGAUCCAGCCAUGCCGCGUGAGUGAUGAAGGCCUUAGGGUUGUAAAGCUCUUUUACCCGGGAAGAUAAUGACUGUACCGGAGAAUAAGCCCCGUAACUCGUG
rnacentral:rRNA from 1 species